rnacentral:rRNA from 1 species
UGAGGAAUCUUGCGCAAUGGGGGAAACCCUGACGCAGCAACGCCGCGUGAGUGAGGAAGGUCUUCGGAUCGUAAAGCUCUGUCGGGUGGAAAGAAAUGUAUGGGGUUAAUAGCCUUCAUACUUGACGGUACCACCAAAGGAAGCACCGGCUAACUCCGUGCCAGCAGCCGCGGUAAUACGGGGGGUGCAAGCGUUGUUCGGAAUUAUUGGGCGUAAAGAGCGUGUAGGCGGCUUGUCAAGUCAGAUGUGAAAGCCCUGGGCUUAACCCAGGAAGUGCAUUUGAAACUGGCAGGCUUGAGUAGGGGAGAGGGAAGUGGAAUUCCUGGUGUAGAGGUGAAAUUCGUAGAUAUCAGGAGGAACACCGGUGGCGAAGGCGACUUCCUGGCCCUAUACUGACGCUGAGACGCGAGAGCGUGGGUAGCAAACA